rnacentral:rRNA from 1 species
UACGUAGGGUGCAAGCGUUGUCCGGAAUUAUUGGGCGUAAAGAGCUCGUAGGCGGUCUGUCGCGUCGGCUGUGAAAACUCGGGGCUCAACUCCGAGCUUGCAGUCGAUACGGGCAGGCUAGAGUUCGGCAGGGGGAGACUGGAAUUCCUGGUGUAGCGGUGAAAAUGCGCAGAUAUCAGGAGGAACACCGGUGGCGAAGGCGGGUCUCUGGGCCGAUACUGACGCUGAGGAACGAAAGCGUGGGGAGCGAACAGG